ensembl:lncRNA
UCUUUCUGGCAACACGACCAUGCAGCUAAUUUUGGUAGACUGUUAUUAUAGAUACUGUAUAUGUGGUGUAUAUGUGGUAGACUGUAAUAAUAGAUACUACUGUAUAUAUGGUGUAUAUGUGGUAGACUGUAAUAAUAGAUACUGUAUAUAUGGUGUAUAUGUGGUAGACUGUAAUAAUAGAUACUGUAUAUGUGGUGUAUAUGUGGUAGACUGUAAUAAUAGAUGCUACUGUAUAUAUGGUGUAUAUGUGGUAGACUGUAAUAUUAGAUACUGUAUAUGUGGUGUAUAUGUAGUAGAGUGGCUACUUCUGGUAUCAGUGUGGACUGGUACUUCAUGUAUCAGUGUGGACUGGUACUUCAUGUAUCAGUGUGGACUGGUACUUCAUGUAUCAGUGUGGACUGGUACUUCAGGUAUAAACGUUGACUUGUACUUCAGGUAUAAACGUUGACUUGUACUUCAGGUAUAAACAUUGACUUGUACUUCAGGUGCUAACAGGCAUGACCUCAAGAUGACAGGUCAUCAUAAAUCCCAGACAAAUCAACUUGCAACGGUAUAGCUCAAUGUCUGAGGUCAGAGGCAGUCUGGCGUUUUGUAGAUGGCACUUCUCUGGAUCAGAGGUCAGGUGCAGCCAAUUGUUCAGUUGUUGGUUAAUUUGUUCUGGGGAAAGAAUGAGAGAAGGUAAACAUAAGUGAGCUUGCUAAACAUUUUGCUUACAAAAUGGGGUCACCACCCGAAACACUUCUGUUGAUUUGUAGGAGUUGAGUCGGAGGGACCUCUCAAGGGGCUAGAGCUGAGUUGACGGUCCUGGCUUAGAAAGGUCAACGGUGGAAAACUGUCUUGUGGACUGACGAAUCCAAAUGUUAAAUUAUUUUUGGGAAUCAUGGACGCCGCGUCCUCCAGAAUAUAGAGGAGAGGGACCAUCCACUGUUCAAAAGCAAG